UACGUAGGGACCAAGCGUUGUUCGGAUUUACUGGGCGUAAAGGGCGCGUAGGCGGCGUGUUAAGUCACUUGUGAAAUCUCUAAGCUUAACUUAGAACGGUCAAGUGAUACUGACGUGCUAGAGUGCAGAAGGGGCAACCGGAAUUCUUGGUGUAGCGGUGAAAUGCGUAGAUAUCGAGAGGAACACCUGCGGCGAAGGCGGGUUGCUGGGCUGACACUGACGCUGAACUGCGAAAGCUAGGGGAGCGAACAGG
rnacentral:rRNA from 1 species